rnacentral:lncRNA from 1 species
CAGGCUUUUCUUGGCCUGGUAAAGAAAUGCCAGAGGAGCUUGCCUGUGUGCAUAAUGACACUUUCAGGAAUCAGUUGCUCCCCUAAACACAUCUGACGAACUAACUUCCCUCUGCCUUCCACCUCUGACUGAAGAAAUUUCCAAAUGGGAGGCAACUGAAAAUUCUGUUGAUCAGAUGAAGAACCCACCCUAGGCUCUCAGCCUUAAGUGGAAGCAGAGUAAAGUGAUAAAGAUUGACGUGCCUCUUUCAUGUCAGAGGAGAGGAGUUCUCCGUGUGCUUAGGACUUCAAAUAUCUACAGGAAAAUAGAUGAAAUCCACUCUGUUCUUGGGCUAGAUCAUCACCCAG